rnacentral:rRNA from 1 species
UACGGGGGGGGGCAAGCGUUGUCCGGAAUCACUGGGCGUAAAGGGCGCGUAGGCGGCCUGAUAAGUAGGGGGUGAAAUCCUGCGGCUUAACCGCAGGGCUGCCUUCUAAACUGUCAGGCUCGAGCACAGUAGAGGCAGGUGGAAUUCCCGGUGUAGCGGUGGAAUGCGUAGAGAUCGGGAAGAACAUCAGUGGCGAAGGCGGCCUGCUGGGCUGUUGCUGACGCUGAGGCGCGACAGCGUGGGGGAGCAAACAGG